UGGUGACAGCGUCACAGUUUAUCCCGUCGUGUAUGAAUAUCGAGAAGACAUCCAAAGGAAAGUCGUUGUUUUUAAUAAGGAACAUUCACUGGAAUUGGAAAGAGCAUCCGUCCUGGCGCCAAGAGUUCUGCUUCGUGACUACACCGAAGAUGGUGUCCAUGACAGAUACGUAAACGGAGCCUACUACGAACGCCAUCUAUACGGAAACGCUGAACACAAAGCCUCUCUGAUAGUGAAGCCACAAGGAAGAGGACGUUACCUUGUCGCGGGCCUCGUUAAUUCAACGCAUCAUAUUGAACCUAUACCAAAUCAAAUGUAUGGUGAAAGAGGAACCCCACACGUAAUAUCUCGAAUUCCAACUAUGAAA
rnacentral:lncRNA from 1 species